GGCACCGUAGCUCAGCGGUUAGAGCGGAGGCUUCAUAAGCCUUAGGUCGGUGGUUCGAUUCCACUCGGUGCUACCA
rnacentral:tRNA from 1 species